rnacentral:tRNA from 2 species
GAAAGAGGCUAGAAGCAAUAAGGACUGCUAAUCCCUAUCACCAUGGUUAAAUUCCAUGGCUCAUUCAUAAC